rnacentral:rRNA from 1 species
UACAGAGGGUGCAAGCGUUAAUCGGAAUUACUGGGCGUAAAGGGCGCGUAGGUGGAAGAUUAAGUGAGAUGUGAAAGCCCCGGGCUUAACCUGGGAAGGGCAUCUUAAACUGGUCAACUAGAGUACUGUAGAGGGUAGUGGAAUUUCCGGUGUAGCGGUGGAAUGCGUAGAUAUUGGGAGGAACACCAGUGGCGAAGGCGGCUCACUGGACCGGUACUGACGCUGAUGCGCGAAAGCGUGGGGAGCAAACAGG